GCGUGCUAUACAUGCAAGUCGAGCGAACAGAUGAGAAGCUUGCUUCUCUGAUGUUAGCGGCGGACGGGUGAGUAACACGUGGGUAACCUACCUAUAAGACUGGGAUAACUCCGGGAAACCGGGGCUAAUACCGGAUAAUAUUUUGAACCGCAUGGUUCAAUAGUGAAAGACGGUUUCGGCUGUCACUUAUAGAUGGACCCGCGCCGUAUUAGCUAGUUGGUAAGGUAACGGCUUACCAAGGCGACGAUACGUAGCCGACCUGAGAGGGUGAUCGGCCACACUGGAACUGAGACACGGUCCAGACUCCUACGGGAGGCAGCAGUAGGGAAUCUUCCGCAAUGGGCGAAAGCCUGACGGAGCAACGCCGCGUGAGUGAUGAAGGUCUUCGGAUCGUAAAACUCUGUUGUUAGGGAAGAACAAAUUUGUUAGUAACUGAACAAGUCUUGACGGUACCUAACCAGAAAGCCACGGCUAACUACGUGCCAGCAGCCGCGGUAAUACGUAGGUGGCAAGCGUUAUCCGGAAUUAUUGGGCGUAAAGCGCGCGUAGGCGGUUUCUUAAGUCUGAUGUGAAAGCCCACGGCUCAACCGUGGAGGGUCAUUGGAAACUGGGAAACUUGAGUGCAGAAGAGGAGAGUGGAAUUCCAUGUGUAGCGGUGAAAUGCGCAGAGAUAUGGAGGAACACCAGUGGCGAAGGCGGCUCUCUGGUCUGUAACUGACGCUGAUGUGCGAAAGCGUGGGGAUCAAACAGGAUUAGAUACCCUGGUAGUCCACGCCGUAAACGAUGAGUGCUAAGUGUUA
rnacentral:rRNA from 2 species